rnacentral:rRNA from 1 species
UAGGGAAUCUUCGGCAAUGGACGAAAGUCUGACCGAGCAACGCCGCGUGAGUGAAGAAGGUUUUCGGAUCGUAAAACUCUGUUGGUAGAGAAGAACGUUGGUGAGAGUGGAAAGCUCAUCAAGUGACGGUAACUACCCAGAAAGGGACGGCUAAUUACGUGCCAC